rnacentral:rRNA from 1 species
GGACUGCCGGUAAUAAACCGGAGGAAGUGGGGAUGACGUCAAAUCAUCAUGCCCCUUAUGACCUGGGCUACACACGUGCUACAAUGGUUGGUACAACGAGUUGCGAGUCGGUGACGGCGAGCUAAUCUCUUAAAGCCAAUCUCAGUUCGGAUUGUAGGCUGCAACUCGCCUACAUGAAGUCGGAAUCGCUAGUAAUCGCGGAUCAGCACGCCGCGGUGAAUACGUUCCCGGGCCUU